rnacentral:rRNA from 1 species
UACGGAGGGGGCUAGCGUUGUUCGGAAUUACUGGGCGUAAAGCGCACGUAGGCGGACUCUUAAGUCGGUGGUGAAAUCCUGGAGCUCAACUCCAGAACUGCCUUCGAUACUGGGAGUCUCGAGUUCGGGAGAGGUGAGUGGAACUGCGAGUGUAGAGGUGAAAUUCGUAGAUAUUCGCAAGAACACCAGUGGCGAAGGCGGCUCACUGGCCCGUAACUGACGCUGAGGCACGAAAGCGUGGGGAGCAAACAGG